AGUCACCCACCCAUGCAUCCAUAGAGGCAGACGUUACUUAAGAAGUAGCAAAGAUGUCAAGCUCUUUGCAGGGGACAAGAACGCUUUGCUUAUCAACUGGGUCACUUUUAAGUUAGCCGAUCAGAUGUGAGGGUGAGCUCUGGCCUCUUAGAAGCAGGCUCAAAGAGGUCCAGCCUGGGGUAGAAUGGCUAGGAAGCUGCAGCUUGUCUAAGCUGGAAGACCCACAAGGAGCCCAGACUUCUGAUCAGAAGAGAGCUGAGGGUCCCCCAAGUGCCUGGGACAACACUGGAGCCCAUCUGAGCAACCGCUAGCCUCCCUGGAGCCCAGCCCGAGAUAGAUGCUCUCCUACCCACGGCAUGGCCUCAAUGUCCCCCCUUUCCUUGGCCGUGAACAAAGAUCUCCAUAGCUGACAGUCAUCACAGGGACAACUGCCCCGACACUGCCCACUCCAGGGCCUUGAGUCCGCUCUGUGGAGAGCCCUGCCCAGCUGUGGCUGGCCUCUGGACCUCUUGGUUGCACAGGCUCUGGCUUCCUCGGAGAGAGUGCCUGCUCCAGCCAGUCCUUCCUCAUGGUUCCAGCUCCCGGGAGAGGCGGGACAGUUCCCGCUGGUUGUCAAUGACCUUCAGCUGCUGGACAUAAGCCCAGAGUCAGGAGGGCAGUGGAUGCAAAGUCUGAAGAAAGAAGGUCCCUCCGCCCACCAAGAUCUAUCUCAGCAUAGUACCCCUUCUCUGGGUCAAAAGGAACUAAAACAGACUGGAUAUGGUGGUGCGCGUUUAUAAUCCGGGAGCUUCCGAAGCUGAGGCAGGAGGAUGGAGAGUUCCAAGCCCUGUUUCAAGAAACAAGAAAUGGCCAGGCAUGGUGGUGCGUGCCUUGACUCCAGCACCCAAGAGGUGGAGGCAUGGGGAUCUUUAGGAGUUUGGAGCUAGCCUGGGCUACAUAAUGAGUUCCAGGCCAGCAAAGCCAAAAAGUAAAGCAAACAAAAGCUGGAGGGAUAGCUCAGGGCAUGAACUGCUUGUCCUAAUAACUUGUCUGUAAUUCCCAUGCUGAAACAGUCAGAUCGCUGGGGCCAGUCUGACAGCCCAGGACACUUGUUAAGUUCCUGGCCAGUGAGAGCUUGUCUCACAAAGAAGAGAGAGCGGCUGCCCAAGGAUGACCCCCCCCCCCCAAGGCUGAGGCUGUUCUCUGCCCACCGGCCCUGGUGUGUCCUCAUAUGCAAAUGGCUGGCAUCCAACCUCACACAUACGCACAGGUGUAUACACACAUCAAUAAAAAUAAAACUUGAAAAAAAA